GGCCAAUGACAUUAGAGGAACAGCAGAAGGUUACUGAAAAGAUGAAAAAAGAACCCAAACAAGAACCUGAAACAUAUAUUUUGUGCAAAAAUCAAACAGAUGAACUUGUGUUCACAUCUCAAGUUGCGUCCUUAAGUGGAUCCCUCCGUCUUCCGACAGUUUUCAUCCUUCUACUCAUUGACAUAUGUGGAGUGGCAGCCGUCUAUGAAGUGACUCUCCAG